rnacentral:ncRNA from 1 species
CAUAGUCGUUAGGGGUGCUUCAAUUACAUUUUGAGGCUGAGAGCAAACCCUUGAACCUGAACUGGAUAAUACCAGCGUAGGAAAGCGGUAGGAAUAAUUA